rnacentral:sRNA from 1 species
CCCUUGGACUAUUAUAUAAAACUAAAGUAGAGUGUCUUUGUAUAUUUGAAAUAGGAUAGGUUGAAUAGGGAA